UGAAAAAUAAAUCAUUAUAAUACCGUCCUAAACACUGAUAUUGAAAGAAUAAAAUCAGUAAGCUGACAUAAGUGGAUACCAUAUAACAAUGAUCUUAUACAAGGUGCAAUUUAGUUUAGUAUAUAGUCCCAGAUUUUGUACCAAAAUUUCCAUCAAGACACUUUGGUCAAUAAUGUGUAUGCAAAGAAGCAAAACAUUUAAAAAGUCUUGGCUAACAAGUAAACAAUGAAAACUUUAGUUUGAUUGAAAACAUUUUAUUCUAUUACUGAAAAGUACAUUAAAGAGAAAAGUAACUUCACUCGCACAUACACGCCUACAUACACACUCAUGCACAGGCACAUGCACGCACUGUUAAGGAGAUCUCAAGUCAGAGAAGUAAGUGAAAUUUCUUCAGAAACAGCAUCAGCUUGAGGAACUGUCCUAUGUUUCUGUGGCAAAUACAUAAAGUAUUUUAACUCGCAUCCCCUACAAUACGAACUCGGUUUUAGGAAUGGACAUAAAAGAGGAAACAAAAUAUCGGAAAUGAGUUUCUAAACAACUGUUUAAGAAUGAAAAAGACAUGGAUUCUUUAGCAGCAAAAUCUUGAGCUUUAUUUAUUGGUUUGUUUGCUUAGCUGAUUCUGUUUAAGUUCAAGGCAAACCGGAGUCAAGGUAAAGAACUGGCAAGGCCAUAGGAUUAAAAAAGGCUCUAAGUACAGGCUAGAUCUGUUUACCUCUUCCUUUAGAAUUGAUAAGAACAGAUAAGUGUGAAAUUUCAUUUCACAUGAAGUGUGCUUCAGAAUGCUGAGAGGAUUAAAAGUAAAUACUAACAUAUUAUUCUAUCUGCCAUAUCAAGAUGAGCUUAUCAGAUAAUAAUUUGACAAAGAGGUUCAGAUUUGCCUUCUGUGAAUUGUCCAGUUCAAACAUAGUGUUUUUGGGGCUUAAGGAGUAGGAAGGACAGCAAAGGAGAGGGUCAAGACGAUCUCAUGGAGGGGAGCAACAGUCCUUGGACCUAUCUCAUAAGACAGGACCUCACUGAGAACUCAUUACAAAAAAAGGAUUUUAUUGACAAGGAACUCUGAAGUCAUUCCUUUGUGGUACCAAAUGGUCACUAGAAGGGGUGAAGUCCUAUCUUCCUUCAGUACUAGAUUCAGAUACCAAUGUGUACUGCCCAUGUAACAUGGAGGCCGGAGUCUUAUACUGAGUAUGAAGUGGUAAGGCAUAUCUCUUCCUAACUGUUAGUGAGAAACAGCUUGUAAAACUGCCAGCUUCCAAUUAGAGGUCCUGAAACAUGACACAGAAAUUACAGACCUUGAAGAUCCAAAGACUCCCUUUUGUUACAUUUUGGCAAAAACAUUAAAUACAAAAAUCCUUAGCUGUCUUACCAGUCUAAAUAUGAGUCAGACUAUUUAAUUAGCUACUUAAGAUCACAGAAUAAAAUAAAGAAUCUAAAAUACUUUAUGCUCCUCCAACGUGCAUGUAUACAAAAAGUUAAAUUAGCAAUUAAAUAUCUCACCAGUGAUGAGAAUAUUGAGUUGACCUAGAAGCCACAGAUUAUGCUUUAGCCAAGAUGCCAAUUUCUAUAUGAAAAUUAAACUGUAGAGGUGGUGCCAGCAAAAGUCAUGGAGUAAGAAUAGUGAAGCAUUUAUUCUCCAUAAAAGCAGCAAAGGAGCUAGCACAAACGAAACAACCUUUUCCACACUACGGACAUUAACCAAAAGCAGAGAGCAAUCUGUGGCCGUGAACUCAUGAUAAUGUGGCUUAACAAGGGUAGGGCACAGCAAACUUGAACUUGUCCUAGCUCCAAACAUCCUACUCUAAUGCUAUGGCCUGAAAACAGCCACAGGGGCAGCAUCUGGAGGUAACACAGCACACAGGGCAGCAUCUGGAGGUAACACAGCACACAGGGCAGCAUCUGGAGGUAACACAGCACACAGGGCAGCAUCUGGAGGUAACACAGCACACGGAAGUGGGAUGAAGCUCCUUGAAAGAAAGCAUCAUUUCCAGAAAAACACCAUCAUUUAAGCAGCCUGGUGGUUCUCGAGGUAGCUACUCAUAAAGAGGUCUGUACAUGUCCUGGCAGUACUAAAAGCCUCUGGGUAGGAGCGAUGACUGCCAACAGUGACAAGAAAUCCAGGGACUGCAUGGCCGCCAGCGCCAGUGGACAGUGCACAAAAUUACACUAACCAAAGCCUUAACAAGAAGGUCCAGGCAAUGGGAUGUCCACUGGGAAUCUGGAGUUCUCAUACUUUCUAGCAUUCUAGAAGGAAUGUGUAUGUUUGUGCUCAGGAAAGAUCCAAGAAGGCCCAGACUCCCGCCUGAGACUGCGCAGGAAGGAGUAAAAGCUAAAGCUAAGCUGAGAGGCACCCGCCGUGUUGCACUGGACCCAUACACAGAAAUGCCCCGGCAGUCUACACUCACAGCUUGCAAGAAUUUAAGAAAAUCUCUAUUAAUCAGCACACUAACUGAUAGGAGCUAGAGUGAACACACAGCAAGGAAUAACGACCUUGUGGAAUUUAUUCAUAAGGAUUACUAAAACAAAUGCCAAUAAAGAACCAAGGAUAUGACAAACAAACAAACAAAUAAAUAAAUCAUAAAAAUAAAUUCAAAACAAGAAAAUAUGAUAAAUACAAGGAAGAUAAAAGAAUUAAUAAGCAUUCUGGGAAAUCUAGACUUUGAUAUUAAUAGACAAAACCUUUAAAUUUGAUUAAAACCUUAAAAAAUUAAAAUCAAUACCUUAAAAUGAUGUUUUAGCAAAUAAACAAUACCAAUGAAGACACAAAUGUCACUUAAACACGGACUGAAAUGCUGAAGGGGAAAACAGGAAAACUGAAGCAAAAGUUCAGAAGAACUCACGAGCAGACGUGAGCAGGCGGAAGGACAUUAACUGAGGUGAGCCACACCAAGGAACACAUAGAAGAGGCCACAAAGAGGUGUGGACAGUUUUAAAGACACGUGAGCUAAUAAAAACAAUAGGAUUUAAAGAAAAGAGGACAAAUAUUUGAAGAAAUAACGCCCAAAUCUUUCUCAAACAUGAAAACUAUUGACCUAUAUUCUUACGAAACUCCAAGUAGAAUGAAUCAAAGAUACCAUACCCGCCACAUACUGAAAGGAGUGAGUGAGUGAGUGAGUGAGUGAGUGAGUGAGUGAGUGAGUGAGUCGGAGCACAAGAGAGGAAGAGAGAGUGGGGAGGGAGAACACACCCCAAAGGAUGCAGAGAAGGACUUAUCCCAUGAAGCUGAUCCGCAUUCCUUCAGGUUCCACAGAUAGAAGGCUGAAGACAAACCAGAGAAAGCCAAGGGAAGAGCAUGGAGCUCAGCACUGGCGCAAAGAAUGUGACAGGCACACAAUACCCUUGUUCAACACACAAAACUAAGAGACAAAAAGAACUACUUAAAAUUUAUACCGUCUGGGACUAGAGAAAUGGUCGGCAGUUAAGAGCACUGCGUUCCAUUCCAGCACGUAUAAGGUAGCUUAAAACCAUCUUAAUCUCUAGGUCAAGGGAAUCUGAUGCUCUCUUACGGCUUUCAAACACCAAACAUGCUAAUAGUGCAUACACAUACACAGGCAAACCACCCAUAAACAUAAAUAAUUAAAUUUAAAAAAAAAUUGUAGAAUCAUAGAAAGUCACCCACUAUAAAACUAACUUGAAGAAAACAACUGAGAUCUAAAGCAGGUAAAAGGCUAAUAAGAGGCAUGUGUGUGUGCCUAUUUUGUAAAAAAUGAAAAAUUCUGAACUUUACAGUGUAUUUGACUUAGGGAUUUAGGCUACUUAUAACAUAACCACUGUGUACUACUGUUAUGUUAUAAAUGCAUGCACAUUCCCACCUUAUGGAUUUGUAUACUGAGGCCCGCCCUCCAAAAGUGACACUUUGGGAGGUGGAGCUUUAGGAAGAAAUGAGCAUAGAUGUGGUUACAUGGAAGGACCCCUCACAAUCCCUCACAAUAGAACUGUAUGAAGAAUGAGCAAUCAAAGCUUUGCAUUGUACUAGGUAAGGACAAAAGAAAAAAGGCAGACAUGUUCACCCAGGAAGCGACAGCUAGGGGAACUGAACCUACCAGCUUCCAGAACUGUAAGAAAUGGAUUCCGCUUAAGCAUUGCAGACUGUUUUUAACACUUGCUCGAAAUGAGACAAAUAUACUGAACAUGCACACAAAAUGAAAAAGGGCAAAAACAAAACAAUUUUUUUAGAUGGAACAUAAUACUCUGUUAGGAAAAGCAUUAUAGUUCUUGUUGUUGUUGUUGUUGUUGGUGGUGGUGGUGGUGUGUGUGUGUGUAAUUAGAUUCACUUUUUAUUUUUCAAAAAGGGAGAUAACAGAAAUGGAAAAUAUGAGAAACUGAAGUUCAGGUAUCAUGUUGUAGAAGAGGAAGCAGACAAUGUUUAAAAAGCUCAAGUUCCAGAUGGAAAUCGAAAACACUAUCCUGAGUGAGGUAACUCAGACCCCAAAAGAUGAAUAUGGUAUGUACUCACUCAUAAGGGGAUUCUAGCCAUAAAUAAAGGACAUUGAACCUAUAAUCCGUGGUCCUAGAGAAACUAAAUAAUAAGGUGAAACCAAAGAAAAACAUAUAGUUAUUUUCCUGGAUAUUGGAAGGAGACAAGAUUGCCAGGCAAAAAUUGGAAACUUGGGGGAGGGUAGGGGGAAAGAGGAGAUGGGGAGAAAAAAGUGAGAAGGGGGGAUGGGGAGAGCUUGGGGGAAUGGGAUGGUUGGAAUGGAGGAAGGGUGGAUAUGGGAGCAGGGAAGUAUAUAUUUUAAUCAAGGGAGCCAUUUUAGGAUUGGCAAGAGACUUGACUCUAGAGGUGUCCCCAGGUGUCCAUGGAGAUGUCCCCAGCUAGAUCCUUGGACAGCUGAGGAGAGGGAGCCUGAAAUGGCCCUAUCCUAUAGUCAUACUGAUGAAUAGCUUGCAUAUCACCAUAGAACCUUCAUCUGGUGAUGGAUGAAGCUAGAGACAGAGAUCCACAUUGGAGCACUGGACUGAGCUCCCAAGGCCCAAAUGAGGAGCAGAAGGAGGGAGGACAUGAGCAAGGAAGUCAGGACCGCGAGGGGUGCACCCACCCACUGAGACGGUGGGGCUGAUCUAUUGGGAGCUCACAAAGGCCAGCUGGACUGGGACUGAUGGAGCAUGUGUUCAAACCGGACUCUCUGAACCUAUCGGACAAGGAGGGCUGACUGAGAAGCCAAGGACAGUGGCACUGGGUUUUGAUUCUACUGCAUGUACUGGCUUUAUGGGAGCCUAGCCUUUGUGGGAUGCUCAUCUUCCUAGACCUGGAUGGAGGGGGGAGGACCUUGGACUUCCCACAGGGUAGGGAACCCUGACUGCUCUUAGGACUGGAGAGGGAGGGGGAGGAGAAUGGAGUGGGGGAAUGGGAGGAGGUGGAAAUUUUUAAGAUAAAUAAAUUAAUUAAUUAAAAAAAAGCUCAAGUUCCACAUGAGCUAACAAUCAUCAGGAGUUUACAGUCAGUCUUCCUCCUGAAAGAAGUACGCUAGUGUGCCUGUGCAGGUGGUUCACAUACACUGUGAACGCAAAGACAGCUCAGUCUUUAAGAGCCCUGUCUGCUCUUCCAGAAGACCCAGGUUCAAUUCCCAGCACCCUAAUUGGGCUUACAAAAUAGCCUGUAGCUCUGGCUCCAGAGGAUGGUUGCAAUUUUGGGAAAAGGUGUGGAGCACGGACAUCAUGCAUCACGGUGGGUAGAAAGAAGUGGCACUGCUGACCGCCCUGUCAGGUCACUUCUUCCUAAGCAAGUGACCAGACAUCAGAGACUGUGCAGUGCAGGAAAACUGCAUGAGUAUGCUACCAUUACUUCAAACAUAAGCUCUUUAUCACUCUCUUCACAUCGGGUGUCUUAAGAGUGCUUAUUAACCCAUAUAAGGUCACAUCAAUUCAUUUGAAUAGUUUGAAAAGAAUGGUAACUAACCUUUGUUCUCCCUAGCAACCAUCUGGUUUCCUGUGUGCAGUGGCGGUAGGCAUUCGAGGAGGUCCCAGUCCUUGAACUGAUGCUCUAUGUACUAUAUUCAUCAGUCACCAAGACUUCCUCACAGAUCAAAGGAAGUCACAUGGUUUCCAUUGUUUAGGCCUGACAGGCCAUAUCAAAAGGAACUAUGAUUAUGUGAACAGAAUUAUGUUAAGAAUGGCCCCAUUAAUAUGAUUUUAAAUGCCGAAAGAUAAAAGCUUUCAGCUCCACCACGUGUAAUACUUCAAAGUUGCACAAAUUUUCAUGGUGCUAUCAAUGCAGCAUCACUCAGCUCGUGAAGGCAGCUACUUUUCCUUGUUAUCUACAAGAAGCAAUUUAUUUAGUACACUAUCACGCUAAUGAAAGAGACUUUUGUAUAGCUGGAAGAAAGAGGGCUGCUAAGACAAAGGGAAGCCUGAGCAGGAAGAAGUAUCCGGAGGAGACAUAAACAUCUUCUUAUUUUCAUCUCAGCCAUGUUCAAAGACAGUACAGAGAUCCCGGUGUAUCCCUCAACCCGAUUCUCCAAGGGUCGCAGCGAACAUCCUUUAUUAUUUUUGUCCUGUGUGCUUACGGAUCAGUUUGAGGAUUAGAAAUAGAUAAAAUGCUUUGUCAUACCUAUGUCUAAAAAUGCAGUAAUGUUUUUAACAUAAGCACAAUUCAACCAUAGAAACCAGGAAAUUAAUUCUCAUAUGACCAUAGCCAAAUCUGAAGCAUGUCAUUUACAGAAAAGCAAUCUCCUCCAGUCUAAAAUGCAACCCAGUGUCUCACGCAGCUUUUGUCAUUUCAGUAACCUUCAGUCUGAACCAAGUCCUAAUUACUUUUUUUCUCCAUAAUCUUGACAUUUUGAGACCAGGGCAAUUAUUUUAUAGAAUGUCCUUCAAGCUAAAUGGUCUAUUUCUCAUGAGUAUUUUUUUUUUAAGAAACAGCUGAGAAAUGUUACUGAGUCCUUCGAAUAUAUCAUAUUAGGAAGCACAAUCAAGUCUAUUUGUCCGACAACUGAUGAGGUUUCUCUACUGUAAAAGUGCCACUUUCCUUCUCUAAUACGUUUUGUGGUUUUAUACUUGAGAAGAGGCAACACUUUAUCCUUAGCAACUGUUUGCCUUUAAUUUCGGCAUCUAUAAGUCUCUUCCUAGAAAUGGUACACGUUAUCUGUUGAAUUCUGUUUUCUAGCAUGCUGGGUUUUUCUAAUUUUUUGUUUAAUGAGCUUUAUUUGGCUUAUUCAUUCACAUCAAUAUAGACUCAUAGAUUUGUAUUUUAUUCAUGGAACUAUUAUCAUUACUGUUACUAUAUAUACUGUUAAUAUUACUAUUCAGUACCUAAAUGGUCCUACAUUUACCCAGUGGUAGACCUCAAAAAGUUGGUCCCUUCUGUUCUGAGCAUUUUUCCUUGCUUUCUGGAACAGGAAGCUGUUCUCAGCUAUCUUUGGCUCUCCCAGGCACAGUACUAGAAUCAGGCAUUUGCCUGGGUGGUCCUAGUUCCUUUUCAUGGAGUCAGUCAGGGACUGCCUAUUAGAAAACAAACACUCUAGGCAGGAGCCACUAAUUGACCUGUCUCUUCCCCUUUGCUCUCAACUUUAUUUUCUUAUGUGGCUUUUAUCUUUUGUUAGCCUUUUGGUAGCUUGGAAUGUUGUGUUCACUUCCAUUUUUACUGACACUGUGUUUUGAGCUAUGUAUUUCUCUGAUCACUGUUUUAAGUUGAUCUUCUAGCACCGACAAAGACAUUAAGCAUCAGCUCAACAACUUGAAGAAACAGCAUUAGUUCAACAAUCAGAAUGAACAGGAAGAAAGAGCCCAGGCCUUUUGAUACAUUUCUACUCCAGACUUGAGUAUUCCUUAUCAAAUGUGUGAGUAUUUCAAAUUUUAAUUUUUGCAAGCUUUGGCUACUUACGUAAAGUUUACCCAUUGAGUAUCUUUAAUCCAAAAUAGAAAAUGGAAAUCUUACAAAAUCAGAAACGUCUUGAUUACCACAGACUACUAAAUAGUAGGUCUGCAACAUCUGGACAGGGGUGCUCAGGUAAACCAUUAAGUUUUAGAAAUUCUGCUGUCUACUCACUCAGGAGGUGUUGACUAUACAAUUAAUUUUCAAGUGGAAGGGGCCUUAGUUUAUUGAUUUCGUUUAAAUUUCUAGUUUCAAUAAGCUGUAUUUAGAAUAAUGUAUGUACUAUAUCUACUUUAUAGAAUUUGCUGGUACUCUUCUUUCUGACCCAGUUAACAUUAUAAAUGGUUUUCCACAUGGACUUGGAGAAAAGGCGUAGUCCCUAUUAUCCAGAUAGAAAGUUCUGAAAUAUAUAGUGAUUAUAUUUGGGUUCUCUCUCUCUCUCUCUCUCUCUCUCUCUCUCUCUCUCUCUCUCUCUCUUUCUCUCAUACCACAGUCUUGACCCUUUUACUCAUAUUAUCACUUCUCCCACUCUUUGACUAGACUCUGGGAGCCUGGCCCAGUGAUAGCUGUGGAUCUCUGAAUCUGCUUCCAUAAGUUGCUGGAGUUUCAAGCUAUUUUGAAGAUAUUAUAAUGAAUAUAAAAAACAUUGACAGAGAGAUAUAAAUAAAUAGUUCACAAGCUAGAAAUUCAGUAAUGCUGAAACAUCACUUCUCCACAAAUUACUUUUAGAUCGUGCAAAUUCAGAAUAAUCUUAGUAGACAUUUCAACAGGUGUUACAGAAUUCAAGAUGGAAAUUGAAAUGAUAUACCAAUGUCAAAAUAACUCUGAAAAAGGAAGAUGAAAUUGGAAAAACUUCUGCCUGAUUUCAUGGUUGACAAUAAAGUUCCAUUAAUGAAGCUUCAGUACAAGGACAUCCAAAACAGUGGGGCAGAGCUCAGAAAUACUGGACAGAUACCCCAAGAGAGUAAGAGCUGCCCAAGUUCAAGGAGGGAAAAACCAAUCUCUAUGCAAACUGCGCUGGAACAGAUGGGUACCAAUAUAAAAAUAAACAAGUCACAAAAUUAACAUUAACCAAAUAUGAACUUGGAAUUAAACUAUAGAUUUUCUACAAGAGAAUGUAGGAGAAAACUACCUUAAGAGAGACAAAAAUUUAUGAGAACAUAGAACAAAUGGGAAAUAAAUAAAUUGGAUUUCACCAAAAUAUAAGAAAUAAUAGCACAAUAAUAUUAAGAUAAAAUAAUGCCACAAACUGGGAAAAGACACAAGCAGUGAAUAUAUUUGAUAAAAUCCUUGACAUAAAAAGCUUAAUGAUUUUAUAAAAUGUCAUAGUAGAAAAACCCACUGAUGAUUACACACUGUAAUACAUACUGAGAUUGUCACCACAAGUAAGAGUGAUAUAUUAACUAAAACUAUUAAAUGAAUAAAACCAGUGUACCAGUUGGAGGGAAAAAACAAACGGGCAACUUCUCACAAAGUUAGCCAUUAAACAGUAGAUGGAAAAUCUUUCCUGCAAGGUAUUUAUCCACAAAAAAAAAAAAAAAAAAAAUCAAUGAAAACCCAUACUUGCACAAAGAUUUAGUAUCAAAAAGAAAAUAAGCAAGAUAAGCAAACCAGGAUAUAGACACACCAGAUUACUUCUUGGCAGUAAAGCAGAGUAAAUGAUACAAAAUGAAGCAACGUGGCUGGACAGCAACAGUGUGGGGCUGGAGACACAAGCAAGCUGACUCCCAGCCCCCAUUCUAGGUACUCAGAGCACCUGUAAAACUCCCACUCCAGAGACACAAAGGCUGCCUCUGUUUCCAGGGGUGCUUGUACACCCAUGGUAUGAAAAGAGAUAACAGAAAUAAAGAUAAAUUUUAAAAACAUAUAGCACUGUGCUGUGGCAAAGCAGGCAUUUCUGUGUUUCACAUCUAUGAAAUUAUUGAGAGUUUAAACUAAACUGUGUAAGACCACUGUACCUGGUCUGAGCUGCAGGGAACAGAGCACAAAGUCGAUUUAAAGACAUUUGUGGGAGUUCUAUGCAUUGGCAUAGUUAUUUGGCCAAAAAAAAAAAAAAAAAGAAAGAAAGAAAAA